UGAGGAAUAUUGGUCAAUGGGCGAGAGCCUGAACCAGCCAAGUCGCGUGAAGGAAGACAGUCCUAAGGAUUGUAAACUUCUUUUAUACGGGAAUAACGGGCGAUACGAGUAUUGCAUUGAAUGUACCGUAAGAAUAAGCAUCGGCUAACUCCGUGCCAGCAGCCGCGGUAAUACGGAGGAUGCGAGCGUUAUCCGGAUUUAUUGGGUUUAAAGGGUGCGUAGGUUGUUCGGUAAGUCAGCGGUGAAACCUGAGCGCACAACGUUCAGCCUGCCGUUGAAACUGCCGGGCUUGAGUUCAGUGGCGGCAGGCGGAAUUCGUGGUGUAGCGGUGAAAUGCAUAGAUAUCACGAGGAACUCCGAUUGCGAAGGCAGCUUGCCAUACUGCGACUGACACUGAAGCACGAAGGCGUGGGUAUCAAACAGG
rnacentral:rRNA from 1 species